rnacentral:rRNA from 1 species
UGACCUAGCGGCGGACGGGUGAGUAAUGCUUAGGAAUCUGCCUAUUAGUGGGGGACAACAUUCCGAAAGGAAUGCUAAUACCGCAUACGCCCUACGGGGGAAAGCAGGGGAUCUUCGGACCUUGCGCUAAUAGAUGAGCCUAAGUCAGAUUAGCUAGUUGGUGGGGUAAAGGCCUACCAAGGCGACGAUCUGUAGCGGGUCUGAGAGGAUGAUCCGCCACACUGGGACUGAGACACGGCCCAGACUCCUACGGGAGGCAGCAGUGGGGAAUAUUGGACAAUGGGCGAAAGCCUGAUCCAGCCAUGCCGCGUGUGUGAAGAAGGCCUUUUGGUUGUAAAGCACUUUAAGCGAGGAGGAGGCUACUUGGAUUAAUACUCUAGGAUAGUGGACGUUACUCGCAGAAUAAGCACCGGCUAACUCUGUGCCAGCAGCCGCGGUAAUACAGAGGGUGCGAGCGUUAAUCGGAUUUACUGGGCGUAAAGCGUGCGUAGGCGGCUUUUUAAGUCGGAUGUGAAAUCCCUGAGCUUAACUUAGGAAUUGCAUUCGAUACUGGGAAGCUAGAGUAUGGGAGAGGAUGGUAGAAUUCCAGGUGUAGCGGUGAAAUGCGUAGAGAUCUGGAGGAAUACCGAUGGCGAAGGCAGCCAUCUGGCCUAAUACUGACGCUGAGGUACGAAAGCAUGGGGAGCAAACAGGAUUAGAUACCCUGGUAGUCCAUGCCGUAAACGAUGUCUACUAGCCGUUGGGGCCUUUGAGGCUUUAGUGGCGCAGCUAACGCGAUAAGUAGACCGCCUGGGGAGUACGGUCGCAAGACUAAAACUCAAAUGAAUUGACGGGGGCCCGCACAAGCGGUGGAGCAUGUGGUUUAAUUCGAUGCAACGCGAAGAACCUUACCUGGUCUUGACAUAGUAAGAACUUUCCAGAGAUGGAUUGGUGCCUUCGGGAACUUACAUACAGGUGCUGCAUGGCUGUCGUCAGCUCGUGU